rnacentral:rRNA from 1 species
AUGGUUUGGUCCAUCCGCGUACCCCUGAAGAUUCGUAUCUUCAUGUGGCAAUGGAUUCGCGGUCGGGCCCCGUCCGAGAUGGAGGUCCGCAAGCGCAAUGGCCCGGGUACAGGCAUCUGUCCGCUCUGUAGUGUUCCCGAAGACUCGAACCACAUUUUCUUCUCCUGCGUCUCUGCCCAGUUCCUUUGGAGUUGCUUUCGAGAGGUGGUCGGUGGAAAUUGGUGCCACACCAAUUUCCCGGACUUAUUUGCUGAACUCCAGUUGUCCCCCGCAACCUCUUGCCACAUUAGGUGGCUUGAGGUUGGGGUACUCGCCUGGACCCUCUGGACUGUUCGCAAUAAGCUUGUGAUUCAGCGUACUCCCCUUCGACGGGCUACUGACGCUCUCUUCAAACUCUCGGGUUUCUUGCAGCUUUGGCGGCCGCUUAGCCGCCCCCCGAACCGCGACGCCAUCUCAGCCUUCAUCGCCGACCUCCGCUCGAUGGCCGUUCGCCUGUCGCCGCCGCCUCCACCGCCACCGCCGGAUCCAGACUAG